rnacentral:rRNA from 1 species
ACCUGCGGAGGGAUUAUUACUGAGUUACGCUCUAUAACCCUUUGUGAACGUACCUAACCGUUGCUUCGGCGGGCAGGGGAAGCCUCUCGCGGGCCUCCCCUCCCGGCGCCGGCCCCCACCACGGGGACGGGGCGCCCGCCGGAGGAAACCAAACUCUAUUUACACGACGUCUCUUCUGAGUGGCACAAGCAAAUAAUUAAAACUUUUAACAACGGAUCUCUUGGUUCUGGCAUCGAUGAAGAACGCAGCGAAAUGCGAUAAGUAAUGUGAAUUGCAGAAUUCAGUGAAUCAUCGAAUCUUUGAACGCACAUUGCGCUCGCCAGCAUUCUGGCGAGCAUGCCUGUUCGAGCGUCAUUUCAACCCUCAAGCACCGCUUGGUUUUGGGGCCCCACGGCCGACGUGGGCCCUUAAAGGUAGUGGCGGACCCUCCCGGAGCCUCCUUUGCGUAGUAACUAACGUCUCGCACUGGGAUCCGGAGGGACUCUUGCCGUUAAACCCCCAAAUUCUUUACAGGUUGACCUCGGAUCAGGUAUGACUACCCGCUGAACUUAAGCAUAU